rnacentral:lncRNA from 1 species
UCUCAUUUGCCUCUGUACAAUGUGCUUGCAAAGGGUUAACAAAACAUCAAAUGGUUGGUAAUUUUACAACGGACAUUGACAAAUGUGGCCUUGGAGGAAACUCACUAGAGUGAGGAAUGGCUCCCCAGAGGAAAGGGCCAGAAGGUUUUCACCAGCGCGGUGAGUGGCGAGGAUUUCAGGAAGAUUGGAAUUGAGGAGGAAGCCAUUUGCCUGCCUACAACCUCCUGUAUCCCCUUGUUGGUGACAGAACAAAAGAUAAAGCAGUCAGCAUUACCUGAAGUGACUUGGAGGUGAUUAAUACUCAGAGCUCCUGGAGCAGAAAGGUGGGCAUGCAAGUUGCAAUUAAGAUGAUAAAGAACGCAGCUUAGCAGCAAGCUGGGGUGCGAGGCUGGUGAGGAGGAGAGCUACUGCCUGUCUCUUGCUCUGCAGAGACUGCUUCUGAGAUACACGCACGGGGUUUAUGAUGCUGCCAGGCUCAUCAGGAGAGAGAAGAAAGAGCUCUGUAAUCACACAGUCGUGUGCAUCCAUCCCCAGCUGUCAACAGGAUCUUCUGAGUAAAACACAGCUAAAUAAAUCUCUGCAAUGAGGAAGGACCGCAAUCAAAGAUGAGGAAAUGGAGGAAAAGAAACUUCUUCAAGGUCACCUAGCUCAUAAAUGGCAACACCAAGAUUUAAAUUGAAGUAGUUUAUCUCGAGAGUCCUUGCUUUUGGAUGGGAGUCUUGUCGAUCACAUUCAACCCUAAAUACCCAUCAUGUAGAACAGUGCCUGGCACACAGUAGGCACUCAAUAAAUAUUUGUUGAAUGACUGAAUGAUGUAGUGGUUUCAAAGGAGACCCUAACCCUGGGUCUCCAUGAGCUUGCCCUUGGGUAUACCCUAUCAC